rnacentral:lncRNA from 1 species
AUCAUGAGCACCGUGAUGCUCUGUUCUCAAUAAAACAGUACUUCCCACAAACAGAACAGACAACGGUACAACCGACUGGAAGAAGAAAACAGUUUGGAUUUGGGAAUCAUCCCUGUAUUUUCCCGCCAUAGCACUUUUUAUAUAUCCACAUAUCGCCACACAAGUAUAUGCACCAAAACAAACUCAGGCACUACAAAACAUAAGGUAUGGCACAUUUCUGGUUAUUUUUUUCUCUAAGAUCUAGUAAAAAUGGCUUUUGAAGGCUUUGAAGGCUUUUGAAGGCUUUUGAAGGCUUUGAAGGCCUUUGAAGGCUUUUGAAGGCGAUGCUUGCCGGGGCACUGGUGACACCUUGAGUCCUUGUAUCUGCGCA